CCUACGGGUGGCAGCAGUGAGGAAUAUUGGUCAAUGGACGUAAGCCUGAACCAGCCAAGUAGCGUGAAGGAUGACUGUUCUAUGGGUUGUAAACUUCUUUUAUAUGGGAAUAAAACAUGGUAUGCGUCCUCUUUUGUAUGUACCUUAUGAAUAAGGAUCGGCUAACUCCGUGCCAGCAGCCGCGGUAAUACGGAGGAUCCGAGCGUUAUCCGGAUUUAUUGGGUUUAAAGGGUGCGUAGGUGGAUUGUUAAGUCAGUUGUGAAAGUUUGCGGCUCAACCGUAGAAUUGCAGUUGAAACUGGCAGUCUUGAGUACAGUAGAGGUGGGCGGAAUGCGUGGUGUAGCGGUGAAAUGCUUAGAUAUCACGAAGAACUCCGAUUGCGAAGGCAGCUCACUGGACUGCAACUGACACUGAUGCUCGAAAGUGUGGGUAUCAAACAGGAUUAGAUACCCUGGUAGUC
rnacentral:rRNA from 1 species